UAAAAAUGAGCUAAUUUUGCCCUAACUGUUAAGUACUCUCAGACGACGUUAAAUUUAGCUGAGUUGUAUUUUAUGUUUUGAUGUCAUUGCAUUGUAUUGAAUGGGUGAUGUGUUUUAUAAUCAUCAAAUCCACGUGAAGAUGGUGCUUCUUCUUCCCUCCAACCACUGAUCACCUUUCACCUCUUCCGCUCCUCCGCCCAAACAACUUCCUUCCUACUUCCACCCUCACUCUCCAGACACACACCCUUUCUACCUCAACUCAGGGUAAAAUUUUUCAGAUUAAAACAUUUUUACUGAAAUAAGAUUAGAGAAAGAGAAUUAGGGAUUUGGUCAAUGGGAGAAGAGGAAUUGGAAUCUUAGAGAAGAAAAAGACAAUCAACUGCAUUCUACCAAUCUGAAAC
rnacentral:lncRNA from 1 species